rnacentral:rRNA from 1 species
UAACACAGGUGCUGCAUGGCUGUCGUCAGCUCGUGUCGUGAGAUGUUGGGUUAAGUCCCGCAACGAGCGCAACCCUUGUCAUUAGUUGCUACAUUCAGUUGGGCUACUCUAAUGAGACUGCCGGUGACAAGCCGGAGGAAGGUGGGGAUGACGUCAAGUCCUCAUGGCCCUUAUAGGUGGGGCUACACACGUCAUACAAUGGCUGGUACAAAGGGUUGCCAACCCGGCGAGGGGGAGCUAAUCCCAAUAAAGCCAGUCGUAGUCCGGAUCGUAGUCUGCAACUCGACUACGUGAAGUCGGAAUCGCUAGUAAUCGUAGAUCAGCAUGCUACGGUGAAUACGUUCCCGGGCCUU